rnacentral:lncRNA from 1 species
CCGGCGGGCGCCCGGGACGGCAAAGCGCCGCACUUACCGUGCUGCUCCGCUCCGCUCCGCCGGGGAAGGGGCGAGGGGACCCCGGGAGGCGGAGGGAGGGGCCGGAAAGCUGCGGCGGGGCUGCCCCUCUCGCCCGGGAGCGGAGCCGCUCCGCAGCGCGGCCAGCCGCAGCCCGGAGAGCCCGCGGAGCGAGGCUGGGCAGCCCGAAACAACGAGGGAGGCUGUUUUGUAACGCUCACCUGAGGAGAAAGGAGGAGGCAGCAGGAGAUCCCAUUAAAGACCGAAGUUAAAUGCCUAUCUCACCACUCGUGCAGCAGCAUUCCCAGUGCCCUUGCUGUACCCAGAGGUGAACGUACUGAAGUGUGGGACACGAGGAGGAAACAAACAUGGACACAGCAUUAGUUGGUGAACCUUUAGUGCCUCUGGAGGAAGCUGCACAUGUGAAACGGAACAAUGAAGCGUAAUUCUUUGAAUGAGGAGCAAAUGUGCCCUACUGUGACAUGCUGUUAAUUUAAUGUACUGAUAGACCAAGAGCACUUACAAGCAGCGUUCAGGAAGACAUUCAUUCAGAUUAAUGCGAGUAUCUAAAAGUUGUACAUAAACCAAACAAAAAAAUGGCUCUUCAGUGAAAAUGGCAAGAAAACAACCUUUGUCUUGGAACUUGACUUGAAGCUAUUCUUUGAUCUGAGGCUUCCUCACCAUCAAUUCGUCCACAAAAGAAGCCAUGGCUCUCAUAACAGACAUGACUAGAGCCACUGCUAACAGUUUUUCAGAAGAAAGCAUGUCUGCAGCUACUGUGCCAGUGUGCACAGCCCCUCUCUGAGGGAGCACCUGCAAACAUCACCUGGUCUGUGAACUUUUGGAUGACGAAUGCUACAGGGACAAAACCUCUACUGAGAUCAGUCUCUUCCUUUUCCCCGUGACCACAGAGGCAGGUGACUUCCAGGGCUCACUGCCUUCAUUAUCAUCAUGUAUAAUAAAGUUCCCAAGAAACCUUGGGUGAGUGCAUCAGAUACGCUUCAGUUUGGACUGAUUUUUCACUAUGCAGUAGUGGCUUAAAUCUGACAAAGCAGGCAUGCAGAAAGCAGACAGAUUUGCAUUUUCCCCAGUUACCCCUAUUGGCCUCUCCUGUUUC